rnacentral:rRNA from 1 species
AACGAACGCUGGCGGCAGGCUUAACACAUGCAAGUCGAACGCAUCCUUCGGGGUGAGUGGCAGACGGGUGAGUAACGCGUGGGAACGUGCCCUUCAGUUCGGGAUAACCAAGGGAAACUUGGGCUAAUACCGGAUACGUGCGAGAGCAGAAAGAUUUAUGGCUGCAGGAUCGGCCCGCGUCUGAUUAGCUAGUUGGUGGGGUAAUGGCCCACCAAGGCGACGGUCAGUAGCUGGUCUGAGAGGAUGAUCAGCCACAUUGGGACUGAGACACGGCCCAAACUCCUACGGGAGGCAGCAGUGGGGGAGAUUGGACCAUGGGCGCAAGCCUGAUCCAGCCUUGCCGCGUGAGUGAUGAAGGCCUGAGGGGUGUAAAGCUCGUUCAGUGGGGACGAUAAUGACGGUACCCGCAGAAGAAGCCCCGGCUAACUUCGUGCCAGCCGCCGCUGUAA